rnacentral:rRNA from 1 species
CCUACGGGGGGCUGCAGUGGGGAAUAUUGCACAAUGGGCGCAAGCCUGAUGCAGCCAUGCCGCGUGUGUGAAGAAGGCCUUCGGGUUGUAAAGCACUUUCAGCGGGGAGGAAGGCGUUAAGGUUAAUAACCUUGUCGAUUGACGUUACCCGCAGAAGAAGCACCGGCUAACUCCGUGCCAGCAGCCGCGGUAAUACGGAGGGUGCAAGCGUUAAUCGGAAUUACUGGGCGUAAAGCGCACGCAGGCGGUCUGUCAAGUCGGAUGUGAAAUCCCCGGGCUCAACCUGGGAACUGCAUUCGAAACUGGCAGGCUAGAGUCUUGUAGAGGGGGGUAGAAUUCCAGGCGUAGCGGUGAAAUGCGUAGAGAUCUGGAGGAAUACCGGUGGCGAAGGCGGCCCCCUGGACAAAAACUGACGCUCAGGUGCGAAAGCGUGGGGAGCAAACAGGAUUAAAUACCCCAGUAGUC